rnacentral:tRNA from 2 species
GCCGGAGUGGUGAAACUGGUAGACGCGCUGGACUCAAAAUCCAGUGGGCCUUGGCCCGUGAGAGUUCGAGUCUCUCCUCCGGCACCA